UACGGAGGGUGCAAGCGUUAUCCGGAUUUACUGGGUUUAAAGGGUGCGCAGGCGGAUAUGUAAGUCAGUGGUGAAAUCUCUAGGCUUAACCUGGAAAAUUGCCGUUGAUACUAUAUAUCUUGAAUGUUGUGGAGGUAAGCAGAAUAUGUCAUGUAGCGGUGAAAUGCUUAGAUAUGACAUAGAAUACCUAUUGCGAAGGCAGCUUACUACGCAGAUAUUGACGCUCAUGCACGAAAGCGUGGGGAUCAAACAGG
rnacentral:rRNA from 1 species